CAGUCGCCGCGGUAAUACGGAGGGGGCUAGCGUUGUUCGGAAUUACUGGGCGUAAAGCGCACGUAGGCGGCUUGGUAAGUUAGAGGUGAAUGCCUGGAGCUCAACUCCAGAAUUGCCUUUUAGACUGCCGAGCUAGCAGGUGAGAGAGGUAAGUGGAAUUCCGAGUGUAGAGGUGAAAUUCGUAGAUAUUCGGAAGAACACCAGUGGCGAAGGCGGCUUACUGGCUCAUACUGGACGCUGAGGUGCGAAAGCGUGGGGAGCAAACAGGAUUAGAUACCCCAGUAGUCCCUGUCUCUUAUAC
rnacentral:rRNA from 1 species